rnacentral:rRNA from 1 species
UCCAGACUCCUACGGGAGGCAGCAGUGGGGGAUAUUGCACAAUGGGGGGAACCCUGAUGCAGCGACGCCGCGUGGGUGAAGGAGCGUUUCGGCGCGUAAAGCCCUAUCGGCAGGGAAGAAGGAGGACGGUACCUGACUAAGAAGCCCCGGCUAACUACGUGCCAGCAGCCGCGGUAAUACGUAGGGGGCAAGCGUUAUCCGGAUUUACUGGGUGUAAAGGGGGCGCAGACGGCAGCGCAAGCCAGGAGUGAAAGCCCGGGGCCCAACCCCGGGACUGCUCUUGGAACUGCGCGGCUGGAGUGCAGGAGGGGCAGGCGGAAUUCCUGGUGUAGCGGUGAAAUGCGUAGAUAUCAGGAGGAACACCGGUGGCGAAGGCGGCCUGCUGGACUGCGACUGACGUUGAGGCCCGAAAUCGUGUGGAGCAAACAGGAUUAGAUACCCUCGUA